rnacentral:tRNA from 1 species
GCCCGGAUGGUGGAAACAGCAGACACACCGGUGUGAGGCGCCGGGGCCCGAUCGAGGGCGAUGCAGGUGCGAGUCCUGCUCCGGGCA